rnacentral:rRNA from 1 species
GAUGCCUACGGGACGCAGCAGUGGGGAAUAUUGCACAAUGGGGGAAACCCUGAUGCAGCGACGCCGCGUGAGCGAAGAAGUAUUUCGGUAUGUAAAGCUCUAUCAGCAGGGAAGAAAAUGACGGUACCUGAGUAAGAAGCUCCGGCUAAAUACGUGCCAGCAGCCGCGGCAAUACGUAUGGAGCAAGCGUUAUCCGGAUUUAUUGGGUGUAAAGGGAGCGCAGGCGGUCUG